GGAUAUUUAUAUUAUGUGACGUAUUAUUUGAUAGCAUGUCAAUUUUUGUGUGUGUGUGGGUGGGUGGGUGUUGGAUCAGUGACAGGUGGCGCUGGGGAGUUACCACGGCGAGCGGCUGGCUGGCUGCAGUGUUUUGGUCAGCACUGGUCAAUCUUGCCCUACACGCUCUAUUAACCAGUGUUUCCGUCUUCCCGACACCUUCUUCCUGCACCAAGCACCGUCAAGCAUCACCAGAGAGGCACGAGUACGUAAGCUAUCCAACAUCAGAACAGUAUAUGAAUAUGGCAAAUGCUGUUUUGACAUCAUUUCCUGCCAUCCUGAGAAACAGUGAUCUCGAGGAGCAUGAAUUGCAGCUGCAAUGGAAAUUGUGCAUCCAGCGCAAGUUUCAGAAUUCAAGAAAGAGGCAGGAUUCCUCAGUGACUGAGGUGACGUCAAGGAAAAAGAAGAUCCCUUGCAUAGCGCCAAAAGAGACCACGUGUCCACUGAUGUGUGGAGUAAAGGCUUACCUUCCACCAAGGCCCCAUUCAGAAGAUGAUGAGUCAUUAAAGAGACAUAGACAGUGGCUUGCUCUACAUUGGAUGAAGAAAGAUCCCGAGUUAGAUAAGAUAAUCAAGGAGUUCCUGAGAUUAGAACCACAAGCGGAUGAACCAGACCCAAGAGUAGCAGUUUUGAAAGGGCUGGAGAAAUAUAGGCUCCCAAUAAUUGCCAUUCUCAAAAAAAGAAAAGCAGUUACUCUGUAUAUGGAAACCUU